rnacentral:lncRNA from 1 species
UCAUUCUCUUCCAUUUCAUUUCAUGAAACAUUUUCAGAUGAUUUUCUCUCUCUUUGUCUUCCAAACCUCCGGCCACACUGUAUCGCCUGAAUGAGGGUUCUACAUUUCCGGCAAGGCUAGGGUUCCAGCGAUUGUCAGGGGUUUUGUGCGGAUGAAUCCCGCGACAAGGUACCCUUGUAUCUUUUUAACUCUCUCCGAUCUGUUUAUUCCGCUCCUCCGACUAAUCUCAAGAUUAUAGAUCUGUAUGUCGUGUUUGCUGUCUUCACUGCCCUAAUUCAGGUAUUAGAUCUAUACGAAUCACUUUUGAUUA